CAGGGGAUAGUUUAAGUAGAAUGUCAGCUUUGGGUGCUGAUGGUGGGGUUAUUUCCUCUUCCUUGA
rnacentral:tRNA from 1 species